CAGGGCUCAAGGAAAAGCAAGAAGGUCAAAGUGACCAGAGCACAGUAUGCAAGGAAGGCAUGGCAGGAAAUGAGGCCACACUGGGCGGGGCAUUGUAGACCACAGGAGGAGUUUGGGAUCUUAUUCUAGGCAUACAGUAAAGCCACGAGAGGAUUUUGAGUAGUGGAGUGACAUGGUUUGAUUUAUGGUUUUCAGACGUCACUAUGACUGCUGUGUGGAGAACAGACUAGUGAGGAGAAAGAAGGAAGCAAGAAGACCCACGAAACGGCAGCAGUAGCCCAGGCAGGUGGGGUUGGCUGGCUUCACACACUGCCGUAGUGGUCAAGGUCAUGAGAAGCCAUCAAAUUCAGCGUAUCUUUUGAGUAUGGAGCCAACGGAACUUGCUGAAGGAUUGCAUAUGGGGUGUGAGAGAAAAUGAUAAGCUGAGGCCCUGACACCAUGUUCCUGUCACCUUCCUGUUGUGGCCAUGAACGAUGCCUUGAGCUCAGCUGUGCCUGGAUGCUUGGACUCAGCUGCUGCAGCUCAGAGACUCUGGACGAGCCCUUCAGCAUCAGACCAUCUCUUCUGAGAUUCUGCUCA
rnacentral:lncRNA from 1 species